rnacentral:misc_RNA from 1 species
AUAGGGGCUCAUCAUGUAAAACUGCACCUGAACAUCAUCGGUUACAUAUGGCUCCCAUGCCUUACCAGACCACUCGUAAAUCUCAACCGAAUAUUCCAAUUCAUCAUUAAUCCUGUACAUUGCUGGUUCAUCAGUUUCCCCAACUUUGUGGUGCUUAACAUUCACAGCCUUAAGAUGACCUCUCUCGUGGAAAACCCAUUUGCUUAGUUCAACUGAAAACUGCUCGUUGCCUGACUUAUCAUAUUUGGUUGGACUCCCAGCCUUCUGCACCCCAGAUUUGAAGAAUCGAUUGCUAAACAAACUUAAUGAUCCAGAGAUCAAAAUGCGAGCACUGUUUCUUGCCUGUAUGACUGAAACCAGAGAGAUAGCAGAUCCAGUUAAUUGUGGAGGACUUGAUAGCUUGGACUUUGGGUUGGCAGAAUACGCUGAGGGAGAUGCUGAGAGAGCUUUUAGCACCAAGGUAUUGGCAGGAUUUAAAGUAUGGCCAAUCCCCUGGAACAGUACAGGAGCCUCAAUUUUCUGGCUUCCCACAAUUACAUCAGACUUGAUCAAAUCGUCACUAGCAAUCAAUGUGUGAUCACCCUCAGUCUCUGAUACCGCAUAGCUGGUGUGGUCGAUGACUACAGCAGCUGGAUCCUCAUCAAAAUCAACACCGCAUUCAGUGGCAAUUUCUCGGAUCAACUCAGAUGCAUUAGAAUCAGCAGCAAGAAUUAAAUCAUG